ACCAAGGUAGUUUAUAAAAACGCUAUAUUGUGGUUAUAGAGAUGUGUCACACCCCUGGUA
rnacentral:tRNA from 1 species